UGGUGGAUUAUUUUGUCAGGUUUAUUCCGAUAACGAGCGAGACCUCAGUCCAGGGGCGCGAGAGUGCGUGUAGGAGACGGGUAGAGGGAAUCUACAGGAGGGGCGAGGCGAUAACA
rnacentral:rRNA from 1 species